GUCCACGCUGUAAACGAUGAUUACUAGGUGUGGUGGGUCUGACCCCUUCCGUGCCGGAGUUAACACAAUAAGUAAUCCACCUGGGGAGUACGACCGCAAGGUUGAAACUCAAAGGAAUUGACGGGGGCCCGCACAAGCAGUGGAGUAUGUGGUUUAAUUCGAAGCAACGCGAAGAACCUUACCAGGUCUUGACAUCGAGUGACGAAUCUAGAGAUAGAUUUUUCCUUCGGGACACAAAGACAGGUGGUGCAUGGUUGUCGU
rnacentral:rRNA from 1 species